rnacentral:lncRNA from 1 species
GUAUAGUUCUUUAUAUAGACACUUUAUAAAAUUGUAUAAAAAUACCUUUGAAUUGUCAAUAAUUCUUCCAUAUGUGUAUUGUUUCUAAAACAUGUGUUUCAUCUUAGUAGAACCUUCACGCUCUAUUUCUUCUUUCAUUUUAAUAGAGUCUUUGAUGAUCUUCAAAACCAAUGUGUGCUUAUUUGCCAGACAUGGCCAGCAAUUCCUGUACCGACCUAUGAAAGAUGACUGUACCGAACUUUGCUGUGAAAGAGGAGAAGGCAGGGAGAUCACAAGUUUUCUGAAAGGGGGAAAAUGUACUUGAGAAACCCCCUGAAGGAGAUUCAUCUGCACCUGGCCCUGAUUUAGAAGAUGAGACCUUGAGAUUUCUAUCAGCCCCCCAAUGAGAUGCAUCUUUGGGAAUCUUUGGAGAGGGUGAGCAUAUUUUGCAUGUGGAAGAAUGUGAAUAUUUUGUGCCUGGAUGGCAG